CUGAGGAGCAGGGUAGCCCUCGUUCUCCAGACAUCGCAGCUCUGUUGACGUUCCCACUGUGACCGCCUCUGGCACGCUGCACCGUGCACACUGCAUUUGGACUGAAACCCUGACCAAGGUUAAAGCGCUGACUUUCAGCUUUUCAGCCUUUUUCUUUGAGGUUGUCACCGUGCAUACUGAAGAGCCUGUGUAGGACGGUUUUCAUACACAGUCCCUCUGUGUGCUGCCCUCAGGCCAAUGCAGCAGGACGGAAACAGUGAGCGAAAAAACAGUGCGACUGAGAAACCCUUUCCACUCUACAGUCAUUUUGUUUCAAUUAGGGAAGAAAAACUGCAGAAAUCAAGAGGGACUUGAGUAUUUGUGCAAAGAUAAACUGGCUGUAGCUAGAGGCUAAUUAAUCUGUUAGUAUCCAUAUUAGGUUUUUUAGGUUUUUCCCUUUUCUUUAUUGUGUUGUGCCUAUAAAAGAUCUGUUAAAGGCCAAAGUCAGUGGUACAGAGAGUCCAUCUCUCCCACAGAAAACACUGCACCUGAAGAAGCUGAAACACCUUGUUUGCAUUCCAGGCUUUUAUUUUCCAUAACGCA